GAUGAACGCUAGCGGCAGGCCUAACACAUGCAAGUCGAGGGAGAAGCCCUUUCGGGGGCAGAAACCGGCGCACGGGUGCGUAACGCGUAUGCAACCUACCUUUCACAGGGGGAUAGCCCGAAGAAAUUUGGAUUAAUACCCCAUAAUAUUAUUGGAUGGCAUCAUUUGAUAAUUAAAACUGCGGUGGUGAAAGAUGGGCAUGCGUCCUAUUAGCUAGUUGGAGUGGUAACGGCACCCCAAGGCUACGAUAGGUAGGGGUCCUGAGAGGGAGAUCCCCCACACUGGUACUGAGACAGGGACCAGACUCCUACGGGAGGCAGCAGUGAGGAAUAUUGGUCAAUGGUCGGAAGACUGAACCAGCCAUGCCGCGUGCAGGAAGAAUGCCUUAUGGGUUGAAAACUGCUUUUAUAUGGGAAGAAUAAGGCGUACGUGUACGUUGAUGACGGUACCAUAUGAAUAAGCAUCGGCUAACUCCGUG
rnacentral:rRNA from 1 species